CUACUGCGAAGAGAUUUUCUACGAAACUUCUAGAAACAUACUGUAUUAAAAAAAUGCUAGCAGAAGAAAAUUUGACUUUUUAUUAGACCAAAAAAUAUUUAUACUUUUUUCAAUUAGAUUGCUUCUUCGUUAAAAAUUCAUAAAAUACCUGAUUUAAGUUAGCACACACGGACUAUAAAGAAAUAUAAGUGCUGUUGAGUGAAGUCAACAAUGUAUUUAAAUUUUAAAACACAAAAUUGUGUUUCCUAAUAGUUUUAAAACAUAUUUCGAUGAAGUCUUCAGGCAAUGUAAUUACUUACCGAUUUGUCAAUUGAAACAUUUCCAACUGACUUCAAUCUCUUUUUCCCUUCCUUUUGCUUAUUAAGUAGCUUUUGCUUCCUUGUUACAUCUCCCCCGUAGCAUUUUGCUGUGACAUUUUUUCGAAGAGCCGAGAUAGACUCCCUGGCGACUACUCGGUUGUCGAUGACAGCUUGAAGUAUUACUUCAUAUAGUUGUUUAGGAACUAACGGCUUCAACCGUUGAAUCCAUUCACGGCCUCGCUGAAGUGCAAGCGAGCGAUGCACUAUAGAACAAAGAGCAUCUACAGAUUUUCCACUCAUAAAAAUUGAUAGUCGCACCAAAUCAGCAGGAACGUAAUCCGAUUCUUCAUAAUCUAAGGUAGCGAAACCACUUGUUGUCCCUUUUAAUCGACCAAAGAAAUCUUCAACCAGGUGAGCAAGAGGUAAUUGAUAUUUUAUCAUGCAUCGCGAUUCGGACAUAUAAGUGCAGUCCUUUUGGAGUCCUCGACAAGAUUCACACAACUUGAUAACAUCUCCUAGGUACUCGCUCGGUGUUAUAAUUGUUGCAUCGACGGUGGGCUCUAAAAGCUCAGAUAUACCUUGAUGAUUUGUUGGAAAUAGAUUAGGAUUCGAUAUUACUUCUUCCCUUCCAUUUUUAUAUUUUAUGCGAUACGGUACUGUGGGAGAAGUGAUUAAUAAUUCCUUUCCAUAUUCAUCCUUUAAUCUGUCAAUAAAGACAGAAAGAUGCAACGUUCCAAGAAAACCUAAACGCCAUCCCAUCCCAAGAGCAGACGAGUUUUCUUUUUGUACAUUAAUAGCACGAUCAUUAAGGGCCAAUUGUUCGAUGUUAUCAUUUAGUCUCUCGUAAUCCGAGCCAUCCAAAGGAAAGGCGCCAACAUAAACCAUUGAUUGGGGAAUAGAGAAACCAGGUAAUGCUUCAACAUUAGAUCCGAUGGUUGAAUAUGUAUCCCCGACAAUUGCUUCAUCAAUAUUUUUCAUAUUCCAGAUAAUAUAACCAACUUGUCCUGCUCGAAGACGCGAAACUUCGGUCAUGUCAGGAUACAUAAUUCCAACUUGUUGUACUUCAUACUUUCUACCUGUGUUUACACUCAUCACCUUUCCUCCUUUUUUUAUAAAGCCCUCCAUAAUUCGCACCAAUCCUAUAACUCCCUGGUAGCUAUUGUACCAACUGUCUAUCAACAGGCAGCGUAACGGAGCAUUUUCUGACCCCUUGGGAGGAGGAAUUUUUUGUAUGAUUUCCGGUAGAAUUUGUUCGACAUUUUUUCCCGUUUUAGAAGAGACUAGGAUGGGCUUGGACAUAGGGAUAUCAAAAGUUUGCUGAACUUGAAUCAAAGUUCUAUCCACAUCCGCAGUUGGCAAAUCAACCUUGUUCAGAACUGGAAUUAUGACCAAGUUUUGGGAAAAUGCCAUAUAAAAAUUUGACAACUAAAUAAUACGUUAGCUUAGAGUUAAUAUAUUGAUACCUAGGUUAUUUGAUGUUGCUUUGCUCAUCAUCGAACCUCAUAUUUCAUACAGUUUGUGCUUGUAUGCCUUGAGAGGCAUCAACUAAUAAGAUACAUCCUUCACAAGCGGCCAAACUAUGCAUGACUUCGGCACGAAAGUCAACAUGCCCGGGCGUAUCGAUUAAAUUUAGUAAAUAUGAUUGUCCAUGAUAAUAGUAAAUCAUGCUGCAGGUCUGCGCCUUAACUGUUAUUCCUCUUCGCCUUUCUACUUCCAACUUAUCCAAAAAUUGAUUUCUAAAGUUAUGUUCAUUAAUGACACCGGUGAGUUUUAGUAUGCAGUCACUCAGCGUUGAUUUCCCAUGGUCGAUAUGAGCAAUCACAGCCCAGUUUCGAACUCUAUUUUGUGGAAU
rnacentral:misc_RNA from 1 species